AUGAAUCCGAGUUCUAACAAGCGAAAACCAAACAGAGUAACCUUUGAGCCAUCGACAUUACAAGUCUCUUGGAAGUCCAACUUACCGGGACUGCGCCAAUCAGAAAGAGAAGCCUGUGAGUUCAUAGUGGAAUUUCUAGAAGAAGAACAUAUGUCUGAGUUCACCAAGCUGAAGUUCCUGAGAGCUGUGGAAACCUUGAAUAGUGUUGUGUGUGCCCAGGCAGAUGGCAAUAUGGACGAUUACUAUCCCAAAGCCAUCCUGGCCAAGAAAAUUGAGAUACUAAUUCUUGAAGAAUCCACUGAGAUUUUGACGGGCAACAUGCGUCAGCAAGCCAUGCUCUGCAUCGUGGCGCUGAGGUGAAUCCACCAUUCCACUUGUCCAAGAAGCUGGAUCUGGUAAAUGUGGGCAUCUCCAGCCUGUUCUCUCUGCUGCCCAUUGUGCCCAGCCUGUACCGAAGAGACAAUGCGAGUCUCUACCUCCAGACGGUCCAGGCCUUAGACAACAUGUUGCAGGCUCUUGUGAUGGACAGUAUGAACCCCAACAUGCUCAUACUACAAAACUUCCUGGAGAUCGUCUUACCUUGGUCAUUACUGUCAGACAAAGUGCAUGAACAGAUGCGGGCCUUGGGCACUAUUUCCCGGUUGCUGAGGUUUAUUUGCAAUUUCCCCGAACUGUCACACAUGGAGGAAUUCUCGAUGAGUGGGAAACUAAUGAACAUCUUCGGCCUCUUCGUCAUGGGCUGCAACCACGAGAUCAGCAUAGAGGCAUCAGAGGCGUUGCAUUAUCUGUUCAAAAUCCUUGUGCUUCAGAGAAGUGUGAAACAGAAGACAGAGACUAUCCUGAAGGAUUUGCAGAAGCAUUUCCAUGGAGCAUGGCUUGCCAGCCUGCGGAAUCUAACACUGUUCUUCAAGAAAUACCUGACCCCUGAGGAGAGAGCAGAUAUGAUCAUGGUGAGCAUGGAGGCCAUGACCAACACCAGCAGGCGUGACAUCUCUGCAGCUUCCAAGAUGUUAAAGAUGAUCCUGAAGUACACAAUUCCAGAGAUCAGGAAGGUGCCGGAAAUCAUCCAGUACAUUUAACACCACAUGAACAGCAUUACAGAAACCACAGCCCAAAAGACCAUUAAGAAGAUCCUGUAUCUGCUGUCCCAGCACUACACUGAUGAAGUUAUCCUGACACUAUUGAAGAUAGAAGAUCAGUCACAAAAGUAGGGGGUUUGCAAACCCUGGGAAAUCCUGGCAUCCUUCCCCAAAAGCUACGAAAUGAUCAUGGACUACCUGCUCCAGAGGCUGACUCCACACCGGAGACCGAAGGACCAGGAGCUCAGCCACAGAACACAGAUCUCACCAUUGAUUGCCACCAGGGCCAUCCAUGAGCUCCUGCUGGAACCCAGUCGGUGGAUGGAGGUGCAGUCCUUCUUCUUCUCCUUGUUCAUGGCCCUGCUGUUCCAGAUCUCCUUUUUGGUGGUUGAAGGGGGCGCUGAAAUAAGCCAGGAUCAGCAACACAUAGCUGAAUGGAUGGACCCUAUACGUUCUACCGUGGAGGCCCUGAAGACCUUGAUUCGAAGUUCUGGGUAUGGGCACUAUGUGUCUUCUAUUCAGAGACAUGGGGGCUGGGGGCUGCUCGUCAAUCCUGAAAGACACUAUGAUGGAGUCACUCUGCUGGCCAGGUCCCUGGUCAUCAAUAACUGUUGGCACAACCGCCCCCUCUUCAGCUCCAUCAUCAGGUUCCUCCAGGACCCAGACUGCAAGAAUCACUUAACGGCCCUUGUGUUCCUGACAGAGCUGCUUCAGUGCCCAGAUGUGGCAGCCUUAGUGGAUGACUUCACCACCCGCAUUCUGGCAAACUGGUUCAAGAGUGAGGAGCCAGCCACAGUGAAGCCAUUGCUGCAGACGCUAGAGGUCUUUGCGAAGCAUGAAAACAUGGUGAGGCGGCUCCGAAUCCUCCAGCCCUGUGUGCUGAACUGCUGCUACUCCUCGAACAGCGACAUCAUACUGGAGACUUUGCUGGUGGUGAAGAAUCUCCAGAGCCACCUCACCUGGCAGCACUCCUCCACCUUCACGCUGGUGCCCUUCUUUGAGCAGGUGUCAGAGCAUCUGCGGUUGGCAGCCUUUGAGAUCUAUGGGAGUCUCUUGGCCAAGGUCAAGAAAAGGGGCCUUGUCUUCCCCUUGAAGCACCAGAUCCUCAACUUGCUAGCCCCCCUGGUGCUCCACCUGAGGGAUGUGAAUACUGACGUGGCUCUGAUCUGCCGGUCUGCCCUCUGCCACACAGCUGCCGUGCUGGGCUGGUCAAAGCUGAAAGCAGUAUUUGCAGAGAAAGAUGUGUGGAACAUUCUUGGAGCCCUGCUGGAGCAGGAGACAAACGAAGCCCUCUGGUUUCUGAAGCAGUGUGUGGCUCUCUUCAAGAGCCCACAGGUUCCCAUCCGCUGGGCAGCUGUGUGGUUUGCCGGCCAGAUUAUCCAAACCCUAGACUUGGAAGAGAUCGAUGAAAUUGAGGAGGCAUACACAGCCGUACAGCACAUGCAGAGAGACUCCGACCCCACGGUCAGCUGCCUCACCACGCAGACUUUCCAUAUCCUGGAAGCCAAGAAGAAGCUGCUACUGGCCAAGCCCCCAACCUCCUGCUUCUGCAGGAGGAGGCCCCAAAGGCACUACUUCUGA
rnacentral:sRNA from 1 species